CCUCCAAAAUUUUACUCCCCCUAUUUAUUUACUUUCCCUCAAACUUUUAAUCCCCAAAACUUUUUAUUUUCCCCCUAAACUUUUACUUCUUACCCUUUACUCUCAAAUAAAAAAUCAAAAUUAUCCAAAAAAAUCACUAAACAUAAAUAGUAAUAAUUUUUUUAUAUCUACUAUUUAUAUUAUUAAAUUAAAUUUCACAUUUUAUAUUAUUUAUAUUAUUGAAUUGUUU
rnacentral:lncRNA from 1 species